CCAGCCUGACCCCGCGCCCGCUGGGGCGCUGCCCUGAGCACCCUGAGGGGCGGGCUCUGCCUGUCCCCCUCGUCCCCUCCCAGCGAGGGCCUGCUCCCCGCGGUGCCCUCCUUGUGGCCCGAGCCCUGGCUGCUUCCCCGGGCAGCUGUCAUGGGGUGAGGUCAUGGGGGUGCCCCUCACUCUGCCCCCUCCCCAGGGUAGUGGACGGCAGGCCUGCCUGGGCACGGUUGGUGCCUGGGCACUGGGGUGAGGAAGGGCUCUGACCGGAGCUGAGCUGGACUCCCUGUCCCCUGAGCAGCCUCUCUGAGGCUGGAGUCCUCGGCUGGCUUCUCCUUCAGCAGCACCAGCCCCAGAGACUAAGGGAGGAGAUUGGUGGCAGGUGUUUGGACAGUGGCCACCAGAGGGCCUUCCAAAAGCCCUGCAGGUGCAGACAAGCUGCUGGCCUCGUCCUCCCUGCUGUGUGACCUCAGGCAAGUCACUCCACCUCUCUGGUCCCAGUUUCCUCAUCUGCAGAGUGGCGAUCGAACCCCACCAAGGGCUCGAGUAACAAGGGCCACCUUCUCUGGGCCUGGCCACACGCCAGGCUCCGCAGUGGCGGCAGCUGAGGGGCUCCCCGCUGCCCCCGGCUGAGACUGGGGCUCUUGAGGCCCAGGGGGGUAGGAGGCGCCCCCUCUGGCUUUGCCCACAGCCCCUCCUCGCGAGGCCCUGCACCCACCUGCGCGGGAAUAAACCAGCCAGCAGCCAGCAGGCAGCAGGCAGAGCUGCUGGGCCAUCUGCCCACCUGGGCCCGGCCCCUUGCUUCCCAGGCCGAGGGCGCCAUCUGCUGGGCACGAGGGACCUCACACCACUCAGCCCAGGCUUAGCUCUGGGAGUGACCCCCAGCCCCAUUUGUCUGAAGUCCCUGUUCCGACUGGCUUCCCACCCCCAGGACACACCUCUGGGUUUGACCUUGACCUCCACGGCCCAAAGAGGCUGCUGUGGUGUCUCUGGGACCUCCUCCCCUUGGUGCAGUCUGUAUUCAGAGCACGUGUACCUCGUGUCCAGCUGGGCAGAGCACGGCCCUGUGUGCGCAGGCCCCUCUCGAGCCACCCUGCCUGGGGCAUGAGCCUGGCCCCCCCUGCUCUACUGUCCCCGCCUCCAGGCCGCUGCCCAGCCUCCUCCCUCGGGCUGCCUCUGCAGCCCCAAGUCUGGCCCUCAGUGGAAGGAGGGGGGCUGCCAGCGCCCUGGCUGGCGGUCCUGGCCAGUGACUGUCCCAGCUCCUCCCAAGGGGGCUGUGCAGAGGGUGGGCCGGAGCCAUCCUCCACCUGCAGGCAGCGGCCACCCAGGCCCAGGUCAGCACCUGCUGCCCGUCUGCUCGUUCCAUGUCACGGCCCCUCAUGCCGACAGCCUGCAGCACCAGUGUGGCUGCCAGCGAGCUGUCACAGUGUCACAGGACACCGUGAGCCUGGAGAGGCCUCAGAAAGUGCCCUUGCCACCUUUCCUUCCUUCCUGCCGGAGAAGCAGGAGGCGGGGUGGAGGCCAGGCCUGGGGACACUGCAGGGUCCAGGUGCGCUCUCUGCAGCCAGCAGGGCACCGGAGAUCCACCCCUGGGGACAGGUGCCCAGACGGGACGCGCAGGCUGGGCACAGCCAGGAGCCCCCUGGACCAGCUCUGGCUCCGUUUCUCCUGCUGCCCCUCCUGUAGAGGCCGCUGCAGGCUCCAGAGGCCCAGCCCGAGAGGGCGGGAGGCCAGGCUGCCCGGCCAGGCCCCCAGAGAGCCGUCCUGGUGCCCGUGGGUGCUCCACGGCACCUCCUUCCCCCUCCUGAGCUUCUAGACCUUGUGGGGAGCACGUGGGGGCACCUGGGGGAGCAGCCAGCACGCCCCCGGGCACGGCCCUGGCCAGCUCCAGCCCAGCCACACGUGGUGGCUCCCCGUCCUGGCCCUGGCAGCUCGUCUGCCACCUGUCUCUGAGUCACCACCCGUCAUGGCUCAGAGAACAGGGACAGGCCACACUGACCCAUCACCAGCAGACGGCCAUGUGGCUUCCACCUCUGGCCACUGUGCAGUGUCCUCCUGAGGCGGAGGCCACGGCCUGCACGGAACCCGCCCUCCCUCCUCACCGGGGACCCGCGUGCUCUCCAUGGCCUCGCCCCUCCCCCAGCUGAGGACACUGGGGCCUGGGCAGCCAGCCCCAGCUCCCGCCCGUCCGAGGGGGAGAGGGCCACGGGGCUGAAACAGAGCCAGGCCUCGCCCUCUCCUGAGUGCGCCCAGCCGUGGCCCUGCCGAGAAGCCCUCUGUGCCGAGCCGCCCCCCGCGAGGCCAGCUGAGGGUCCACGCACACCAGCCACUCCUUGGGGACGGCUCUGCACGCUGGAGGCCAGGGGUCGAGACGUGGAGCCCGAUCCCGUUUCCAGGGAAGUGAACCUGCCGACCUCACACUGGGGGCCAAGACAGUGGUCCAAGGGCCUAACUGGAGAACACGGCCACCGUCCUGUGCUCCGGCUGCAGUGCUGGGAGCCGGCCUCCUCCCACGUGGCCAGGCGCGAGGUGGACCGCAGCAAGGACAGGGCUGAGAGGAAGGGAGCCUGGCCCCCGCUGGCCUGCCUGACGGCGGCCAAGGGCCUGGGUACGGCAGGUCUGUGCACCCACCCUGCCCGGGAAGCGGCCUCCACCAGAGGGCCAGGACGGUCCUCGUGAAGGUCCUGCGGGGGCUGGCCUGGGGCGGGGCCCCUCCACCCGAGGCCCACGCGGCUGCUUCUCCUUGGAUGCUGGUUUCCGGACUGAGCAGGGGCUCGGCCAUUGCUCCACGUUCCCACGCUGAGCUGCGCCCCAGCUGCAGUGCCACUCAACCAGGAGGUGACCAGGAGGUGAUCACAGCCCGGCCAGCCCCUCUCCUCCAGGAGAAGCUGUCUCGGGGCUGCCCAGGGUGCGUGAGGGGCACAGCCUCACCAGGUGCGUGACCGUGCAGCCUCUGGCCUCCUGGGGCAAGUGGACGCUGGGAGCCCUGGGACCGCGGCCCGGAAACCCAGGGGCCUGUGCGCGAGCCUCGGCCUUGGGAGCUGCUCUCUCACCCCCAGAGUCCAGCUGCUGACUCCGGCAGCCAGUCACAUGUCCCCUGCCAGGCUCCCUGAGCCCCAGGAGCAGACCGAGACCAGAGGGGUGCAGGCCACUGGUGAGCAGAGAUGGGGCGAGGGAGGCCAGCGGCAAGUCCCCGGUGGGCCACAGGGACUCAGUGUGGCUGCGGAGCUGUGGGGACCUUCAGGACAGGGAGGAAGCUGGGCACAGCACACCAGCUCCUGCAGAUGUUGGCAAAGGGACAGUGGCUCAGGAUGGUCACCUCAGGCCAGGUGGGCUCUGGGGGCCACCGACAGCAUCCUGGUGGGACCCUGGCAGCCUCGCCAGCUCCCCCAUGGACCCAGAACAGGGGCAUCAGCACCACCAGGAAAUGGGGGCUCCCAACCCCCUGGGUAUCCCUGCAGACCGCUGGGCGCCUGGGCUCUGCAGCCCGAGGGCCGCCCAGGUGGCCUCCCUCUAGCUGGAUGGACGGGCUGUGGCGGAGCCAGACAGGCACAUUUAGAAAGCGGGUGGCGGGACUCAGACAGUGCCCCUCCCACCUGGAAACACCCAGGGCGACGCUCUGUCCGGCGCAGGGGCAGGGGCCGCAGGGGCCGGCUUCUGGGGCUGUAAGUGGAUUUGUCCCCCUAGCCUGUCCCUUCUGGGCCCCACAGGACUAGGCGUCAACAAAGCAGCCGGCAGGAAGCCCCGAGCAGCAGCGGCUGGCGGAGCACAGGCCCCCACUGGGGGCUCUAAUUGCUUCCAGAUUCUGAGGACAUUUGAAAAGCUCCACCUCGAACCAGGACCUCUGGCUGCCAGCCUCCCGCGGGGGCAGAGAAUCCCGGACGCCCUGAAGCAAGCAGCAGAGGACACCAGGAGGGGGAUCUACCAGUCCCUGGAGAGAGUUCCGGUGGCCAGGGCCACCACCUUGGCCACAGGGAGGGCUGGGAGCCUGGGCAGCGUGCUGCGUCCAGGGCGGGGGGUGAGGGUACAGCAGGAGCUUCUCAGAAAGCCAGAGCCCAGGGAGGUCCCAUGAAGGCCUUCUGCGGGGUGGCUGGGGGGAGGCCACCAGACCCCAGGAGAAGCCCCGUGACUGUUGGAGGCGGAGCACGGAGGGUGGGUCCAGGGCACGGGGUUUCAAUCCCAGCCGCGCCAGCAGGGACAAGUCACACAAGUCACACGCCAGGUCUGCAAAACAGGCCACCCCAGCCCCCAGCAGUGUCUGUGGGCAGCAGCCGUGGACAUGGUGACCCCGGGCAGCCCAAAGAUCCCGGCAAACCUGCGGCUCAGGGCCACAGUGAGAGGUGUGGGGUGCAGUUCCCUCAGGGACACCAGGAGCCUCUGUACCCAGGCCUGUGCUCAAAAGUGGAGGCUGGAGAGGGGCUUCCAGGGGUGGAGAGGCCCGGGAGGCAGCUCUGGGGAGCAGAAGUCCCCCCGCCUGGUCCCCAGUCACACAAGCCACAAGCGCCAUGUCUAUGAGCCUCCCUUAACGAGGAAAGGGUGAGGGUACACGCUGCACCCCCCCCCACACAGAAACACACGCGCGCGCAUGCACACACAGAGAAGUGCACACACGUGCAGCCGUGCACACUCACCCCACAUGCAUGCACACGCGCACACACACACUUCUCCCUCCAGCUGCCAGAUGACAGCCGCCGCAGUCUGAACGUUACAAGUCAAUUACGCUGUCCCCCGCCUGUCUCUGCUGCCUCUGGGGAGGUCAUCUCACCAUCUCUGGACAUGAAAGAAGGACGGGGACGCUCCCCAGGGAGGGGUCCGACAGCCCUCGGGAAGCAGCCACCCGUCAAUCACAGGGGGGACUGGAGGUGGGGAGGCUGGUGUGAUCUCACCUCCAUGUGACGCAGCCCGACUCUGACCACCCUGCCCCUCUCGGGCCCUGCAUCCGUGGGCUGGAGGCCGUGCCCACCCCAGGGUCACAUUCAGGAUGCCCUUGGCCCAGAAGAUAGGCAGCUCCUCAGCCCUGAGCCUGGCACUCCCGACAGAGUCCCCCUCUGUCCCACUCAGGACCUUGGUAUAAAGCAGGGAAGGUAGAAGCACCCUCCAGGCCUGUGAAUGGGCUCCGAAAGAGUGGGCAGAGCAGGGGACGCAACGUCCACCCCGAAAGGAGGCAACUCAUGGAGUGUCACCAGGACAGACUCAGAUACCCUGAAGGGGACGCCACCAGUCCACAGGGGUGCAGCCUGGAGCCCAGCAGCGGCCCCCCCAGACUCUGUGAUGGGCAGGUUGUCCAGCUCCGGGGGCCAUGGGAAGCUGCACCCCAUCACAAGAGCCGCAGGGCCCUGGCCAGCCCGGCAGGGGCGCCCGGGUCCUGUCCCCAGCCCUGCUCCAGGCCCUCUGUCCUGUGUGCUCUGCAGCCCUGGGCGGCUCGCCUGACCCCGCCAGGGCCAGGGUGGGGAGGUGGAGCUGAGUUGUGGGCGCGGCACAGGAGGGUCAGCGGGCUCAGGGGGCAGUGAGCCUGGUGGCCACCGUCACCCAGGAGCAGGAGCACACCGUGAGCAGCCACAGCUGGCCCUCCCACGCCAGCGCUCUCCCCCCCGGGGCCACCAGGCCAGGCCUGUGCUGGCACCUGUGACGGGGCCCAGGCCCCGUUCCCGGAGAGCAGCUCUUCCUGGACAGGGGAGGAGGCCGCGGGAGGCCAGGUGCAGAGGGACCGCCCUCCCGCCCGCCCCAGCUGCAUGGGUGGCGAGCCGGGCUCUUCCCACACAUGGCUCAUUUGAUCCCGCCAGCGACCCGCAGGUGUGGGCACUUCCGCUGUCCCCAUGUCACAGAUGAAGAAAGUGGGGUUCAGAGAGGCCUCGGUGGAGGGCCAUGGCUGCUCCACGGCAGAGCUGGGCUUCGAGCCAGGCCCCCAGCGCCAAGUCUGUGAGCAGCGACAGGGCGCACGGCU
rnacentral:lncRNA from 1 species